rnacentral:rRNA from 1 species
CGUAAGGACGCGUAGGCGGGAUGCCAAGUCUGAUGUGAAAUCUAGGUAGCCAUAGAACUGCAUUGGAAACUGGUAACCUAGAGUAUGGGAGGGGGAGAUGGAAUUAGUGGUGUAGGGGUAAAAUCCGUAGAUAUCACUAGGAAUACCGAAAGCGAAGGCGAUCUCCUGGAACAAUACUGACGCUAAGGCGUGAAAGCGUGGGGAGCAAACGGGAUUAGAUACCCCGGUAGUCCACGCCCUAAACGAUGAACACUAGUCGUCGGAAUGCUAGUCAUUUCGGUGAUGCACUUAACAGAUUAAGUGUUCCGCCUGGGGAGUACGGUCGCAAGAUUAAAACUCAAAGGAAUAGACGGGGACCCGCACAAGUGGUGGAGCAUGUGGUUUAAUUCGAAGAUAUGCGAAGAACCUUACCUAGCCUUGACAUUGAUUGAAUACCCUAGAGAUAGAGUAGUGCCCUUCGGGGAACAUGAAAACAGGUGCUGCACGGCUGUCGUCAGCUCGUGUCGUGAGAUGUUGGGUUAAGUCCCGCAACGAGCGCAACCCUCGUCCUUAGUUGCCAGCAGGUUAAGCUGGGCACUCUAAGGAGACUGCCUUCGCAAGGAGGAGGAAGGUGAGGACGACGUCAAGUCAUCAUGGCCCUUAUGGCUAGGGCUACACACGUGCUACAAUGGGGCGUACAGAGUGUUGCGAUACCGCGAGGUGGAGCUAAUCACUUAAAGCGUCUCUCAGUUCGGAUAGGAGUCUGCAACUCGACUCCUUGAAGCUGGAAUCACUAGUAAUCGUAGAUCAGCAAUGCUACGGUGAAUACGUU